rnacentral:rRNA from 1 species
CCUACGGGAGGCAGCAGUGGGGAAUCUUCCGCAAUGGGCGAAAGCCUGACGGAGCAACGCCGCGUGAUCGAAUGAAGGCCUUCGGGUUGUAAAGAUCUGUUGACAGGGACGAAUAAGCAAUGCGAAUAGUUUUGUGUAUGACGGUACCUGUUUAGAAAGCUCCGGCUAACUACGUGCCAGCAGCCGCGGUAAUACGUAGGUGGCAAGCGUUGUCCGGAUUUACUGGGUGUAAAGGGCGUGCAGCCGGGAAGACAAGUCAGAUGUGAAAUCCCGCGGCUCAACCGCGGAACUGCAUUUGAAACUGUUUUUCUUGAGUAUCGGAGAGGUAAUCGGAAUUCCUAGUGUAGCGGUGAAAUGCGUAGAUAUUAGGAAGAACACCAGUGGCGAAGGCGGAUUACUGGACGACAACUGACGGUGAGGCGCGAAAGCGUGGGGAGCAAACAGGAUUAGAUACCCUAGUAGUC